UGGGGCGCCACGAGCUGGGUUUUCCAGU
rnacentral:piRNA from 1 species